AUUGAACGCUGGCGGCAGGCCUAACACAUGCAAGUAGAACGAGUGGCGGACGGGUGAGUAAUGUCUGGGAAACUGCCUGAUGGAGGGGGAUAACUACUGGAAACGGUAGCUAAUACCGCAUACCAUCGGAUGUUCCCAGAUGGGAUUAGCUAGUAGGUGGGGUAACGGCUCCCCUAGGCGACGAUCCCUAGCUGGUCUGAGAGGAUGACCGUCCACACUGGAACGGAGACACGGCCCAGACGCCUACGGGAGGCAGCAGUGGGGAAUUUUGCACAAUGGGCGCAAGCCGGAUGCAGCCAUGCCGCGUGUAUAAAGAAGGCCUUCGGGUUGUAAAGUACUUUCAGCGGGGAGGCGUUACCCGCAGAAGAAGCACCGGCUAACUCCGUGCCAGCAGCCGCGGUAAUAC
rnacentral:rRNA from 1 species